UGAUGGAAGGUGUUUAGGUCAUGAGG
rnacentral:piRNA from 1 species